AAUAUAGGCUACUAUCAAGUAUUCACGGCGUGAAACAGGGGAUUACACUGUUUUUAAACGGAAAGUGAAUCAAUUAACAUAAUAGACUCCU
rnacentral:pre_miRNA from 1 species